rnacentral:tRNA from 1 species
GGAGUCGUUAGUUUAGUGGCAAAACCGCGGGUUGUGAUUCCGCUAUCANNCAACUCUAUCGAGGGUUCGAAUCCCUCUCUCUCCGCCA